GACGAACGCUGGCGGCGUGCUUAACACAUGCAAGUCGAACGAUGAAGCCCAGCUUGCUGGGUGGAUUAGUGGCGAACGGGUGAGUAACACGUGAGUAACCUGCCCUGGACUCUGGGAUAAGCGUUGGAAACGACGUCUAAUACCGGAUAGGACCUUUGACCGCAUGGUUGGGGGUGGAAAGUUUUUUCGGUCUGGGAUGGACUCGCGGCCUAUCAGCUUGUUGGUGAGGUAAUGGCUCACCAAGGCGUCGACGGGUAGCCGGCCUGAGAGGGAGACCGGCCACACUGGGACUGAGACACGGCCCAGACUCCUACGGGAGGCAGCAGUGGGGAAUAUUGCACAAUGGGCGCAAGCCUGAUGCAGCGACGCCGCGUGGGGGAUGAAGGCCUUCGGGUUGUAAACUCCUUUCGCCAUUGACGAAGCCCUUUGGGGUGACGGUAGGUGGAGAAGAAGCACCGGCUAACUACGUGCCAGCCGCCGCCGUAACAC
rnacentral:rRNA from 1 species